AGUUGCUGGUGGGGACCAGAGGAGCAAUGAAGGUGACUUUGCUGGAAUUCAAGGGGUAGCCAGAAGGUGGGUCUGGUGAAAUUGGCAUCCUGCAAGGAAGAACUUCAGACCUGAGGGCAAUGCUGACAAUGAACUUGAGAUAGCAGUGAGCCCAGUCAAUGGAGCACCUGCCAUGAUGAAAGCUGUCUCACCCCCUACUGAAAUUUCCUUGCUGCAUGUAUAAUCAUUGGAACCAAUCUCAUCUGCGCUCAAGCUGCCGCCAGUUACCUCACACAGGGCACAAGCCUGCAUGUUUAUUAAUCCACUAUAAAGACCUGCUGAGAGAGAAGAGGGGGAAAUCAGCAAACCUUGGAACAAAGGAUCCUAGUGGGGCCUGGAGAGCAUGAUGGCAAAGGGGAUUACUGAACAUUUUGUUGCAAGCGAAGGUGAGCGGGGGAUUGAAACUCAAACUUUUGAGCAUCUCAAGAUUUUUGGUUUUUUUGUGGCCAGUCUCUACUGAAGUAUUCUACCUGGAAGGAGUCCUGGUGAAAGAUACAGAGAAGAUAUAAAGAUCACAAUAUGGUUAUGUGACAGAACCAUCAAGCAUAAAUAAUUAAAGAACAUAAGAACUUUCAGAAAUGAUGCCCAAGAAGGCUAGAAAAUGGAUCAAGAUAUUCAAAAACUGAAUCUCAAAGGGCAUUCAGUUCAUGAAUCUAAUAGCAGGAGUACAGUCUACCAGUGUGGAUCAAUUUUAUACCCUUCACAAGCACUGAGGAUGUUUAUAAUGUGAUUAAUAGACCAGCAAUCUUAUGGGUUAUAGGAUGCUAUCUGUUAUGGCAAGGAAGGAGAGAAGAUCGGUCAGAUCCUCAGCUGGCAUAAAUUUGCUUCACUUAAUUGAUUCCAACUGAGCUGUGCUGACGUGCACAAACUGAAAUCUAGCCUGGUUCAUUUGAGUUGAUACAGCUGAAGAGGACAGAUGGAGGAGAAAUGCUGUGUGGCACCAUGAGAUUGGAGUCUGUUAUUCAGCCACAGAACAACACAGGGCCAGGCUGAACUCCAGCUUGCCUCAUGAACAUGCCUGACCACCGCUUGCAGGGAAAGGAAAACAUAGUCUCCUUGACCUUUCGUCUGAGACUGUCCAUAUGGUCCAUGCUAAUUAUGUUGGUGGUGGGUUUUGUGAUGUGGACUCUAACUCACUAGAAACUGGACUGAGACCUUCCAAAUUAAUUUCAUAAAGCUGCCAAAUAGCCAUGACAAUUUAUAAGUUGAAGCUGAAAUGAUAAAUUGUGUGCUAACAGUAAUUUAGGAGACACUGUAUGCUUAAUAAUGCAGUGUCUGAUUCACUAAUGUAUUAUCCCAAUUUUACAUUGGAGGAUCUUCAGCUACCUUACACUGCCAUUCAACUUGGGUAACUCUGGUGAAUCAGGUCCUAGAUUCCUGUGUUUUAUUUUGUUCUUCUGUUAAACCUAGCUGCCUGUUUUAUAAUCUCUUUUUAAAACCAUUAGAUUUUGUAUGAACUCUUCAUUAUUUUUACUGAUACUGACUUCUUCCUAAAAUUAACACUCCACAAGAUAAAAUACUGGACUGCAAGUGAUUCUCAGAGGAUUCUCAACAGAUGAAGAAUAUGGAAUUGUUUUUAAGGCUCUCAUCCCAUACGGGUUUAAUAUGCCAGACUAAGUAGUCCUUUGGAGGUUCUUCAGCUUUUUGGGGUAUCAUUUUCAGCAAACAAAUACAGUGCUCUACCGAAUGAAGAUGUUCAUAAGCUUUCAACUCUCAUACCUUGAAAUCAGCUAAUUUUUCUCUGUGGCUGUAACAGACUUAUGUUUGAGGAACAUUUUUGUACUAUGUCCAUAAAUAUGCAGAACUUAUAGUCCUGUUCAGAGCUGUAACAUUUUUGUCUUUCUUUGGUUUUAAGUCAGCAUCAUCGCAAAUGUUGAAGUCAUUCUACGAGUCUCAUUUGUU